AACUGUUCUCCUUUCCCACCUCGGGAUCAUUUCUCGCUGUAUCCAAAGCAAUCAGUUGGAUUCGAUUGGAUUGAGACAAUGUCGGCGGUGGUUCUCCAUUUGAACCUCUGGUCUCCCCUAACACCGGGCAGCAGCAAAGGCACAGAGAUCGUUUCUGUUCCCAGUCCCUCCUCCUGGACAGCCAUACCCGGUGGAGUCCCUGCUCCCUGCCACCUAUGCAGAGGCAAUGGGGAGGCUCUCAGGAUGUGGCAUGGGGAGACGUACUGUCACCUGGGCCAGUACAGGUGCUUUGCAGACCUGCCAUUGCAUAAUUGCCAUGGAGGUGCACUGAAAGCCUGCCCACCACCAGGCAGCAAGAGGGCUCAUUUUUAUGUGGAGCCCGAUAUUGAACCUGAGGACAGCCCAGCUCCCAAGAAGAGGAAGCUCAUGGAGUUAGGGGCAUGGCUCCCUGGUGGCCUUCCCAGACCACAGAGAACUCCCAUGAGGCGAAGGUGGAGGUGAAAAACACCAAUGUCUCUUCCUUGGCUUAGAACAACAGGCUCCGUGUGGCCAUUCCUUACCUCGGUCCCUUCACACCAGCUGCUUUUCCUUGUCCCUCCAGCCUAGAGCCACCUUCCCCACUCCUACCUGCUAGCACUUUCCCACUACUACCUGUAUGUGUCUCCUUCCGUGACCUCUGUCCGAACACCAGCCCUCAGCAUCCCUUACACUAUCCAUAACCCGUCACAGAGCCUCCUCUUCUUGCGGAGCUUUCACACAGGCCCUCUCAGGUUCCACUGUACCUCCAUGUGCUGGAACAACAGGCCCUCUUUGAGUCUCCCUGCCACACCCACAUCUGCUUCACUGCUGCCAGCCACACACAGCACGGACCGGCUUUUCAUCCCUGGACACCAUAACUCUCAGGGCUUCCUAUGGAAUGACUGUAGGGAGAACUUCGGUGCUGCUUCUUCAGUGUGGAUAACAACGUGCCUAGAUAUAAUCAAGGCUUCAUGACCGUCUUAAAACUGUAAACUGUAAUCGCAGACAAAAGGAAUCACAGACAGGCUGAGCUGCUUCCUUUGCUCUUCAGACUGAAGAGCAACUUUAUAUGAGGACGUUCAUAGACUCAUCAUUUUCUGUAUUCAAAUGAAACUUCACUCCAUACUAGUUCAAUAAUGCAAAGAUUAAAGCAUGUGGU